rnacentral:lncRNA from 1 species
GUUGAUCUUCCAUGGUGUGAAGACUUCGUUCUUUCGCUCUUUGCAAUGACUCUUGGUGCUACUCACUCUGGGUUCACGCUGCCUUUAUGAGUUGUGAGACUCACCGCGAAGGUCUGUAGCUUCACAGCUGAAGCCAUCGAGACCACGAACCCACCAGGAGGAACGAACAACUCCAGAAGCACCGCCUUAAAAGCUGUAACACCCACCGCGAAGAUCUGCAGGUUCACUCCUGAGCUGCCGAGACCACGAACCCACCGGAAGAAAGAAACUUCGAACACAUCCGAACAUGAGAAAUAACAAACUCCAGAUACGCGUCUUUUAAGAACUGUAGCAAUCACCGUGAGGGUCCGCGGCUUCAUUCUUGAAGUGAGACCAAGAACCCACCAAUUCCGGACGCAACUGCCCUCCAGCCUGGGCGACAGAGCGAGACUCCGUCUCAAAAAAAAAAAAAAAAAAAAAAAAAAAAAACAGAAACAAUCCCACCCAGCUUUAGCAAGUCGGAGGAGGUGAGGCCCACUUUUCUACUUUCCUGAUUGGAAGGAGAAGGAAGUGCACAGGCAGAGCGGGAGGCGGGGGGGCCGCCGGGUGGGGGGCGCCGGGGCGGGGGCGCCUGCCAGGCCCAAGGGCAGUGAGGGAGCAGCUGGACUGAGUAGAGAAUUGCGGCGGGGUGGGGGGAGUUUUUUUUGUUUGUUGUUUCUUUACGUGUGUGCGUGUUUCAGAAGUGAAGACCAGAAUUAGAGUGGUUAUCUAAAGACAGAUUUGAAUCUGGGGUUUAGAAGAAAACAGCGGUGUUACAAAUGAAAACAAAAUGGGUCCUGUCUGAGAAGCCCCAGGAGAGAACACCUAUAUUAUUAAAGGAAGCAUGGACACUAGUGAGCCUUAUAUUUCUAUUCUUUUUUUUUUUUCUCUGAGACAGAGUGUCGGUCUGUCGCCCAGGCUGGAGUGCAGUGGCGCGAUCUCAGCUCACUGCAACCUCCGCCUCCCAGUUCAAGAGAUUCUCCUGCCUCAGCCUCCCGAGUAGGUAGGAUUACAGGCACCUGCCACCAUGCCGAGCUAAUUUUUGUAUUUUCAGUAGAGACGAGGUUUCACCAUGCUGGCCAGGCUGGUCUCGAACUCCUGACCUCAGGUGAUCCUCCUGCCUCAGCCUCCCAAAGUGCUGGGAUUACAGGCAUGAGCCACCACACCUGGCCUCAAUACUGUUAAGAUGUCAACUCUUCCCAAUUUUAUCUAUGGAUUCAACACAAUCCCUAUUACAUUACCAGCAAGUUAUUCUGUGGAUAUCAGCAAACUGAUUCUAAAAUUUAUGUGGAAAGGCAAAAAACCCAGAAUAGCCAACAAAAUACUGAAGACUAUCCAAGGGUAGACACCACCCAACUUCAAGACUUACUAUAAAGCUACUUUAAUCAAGACAGUAUGCUAUUGAUGAAAGAAUAGACAAAUUGAUCAAUGGAACAUAAUAGAAAGCCCAGAAAAAGACAACAGAUCUUUAACAAGGCAACUGAUCUUUAACAAGGAGCGAAGGCAAUUAAGUAAGAGAAUGGAUAGUUUUUCAAAGAAGCUACUGGACAUACAUAAUGUAAAAACAAUGAAUUGAGACACUGACCUUACACCUUUCACAAAAAUCAACUCAAAAUGGAUCAUAGACAUAAAUGUAAAAUGCAAAACUAUAAAACUAGAAGGUUACAUAGAAGAAAAUCUAGGUGACUUUGGGUUGACAAUGAGUUUUUAGAUACAACAGUAAAUGCAUGAACCAUGAAAGGAACAUUGAUAAGCUGGACAUUAUUAAAAUUAAAAUCUUCUCCUUGGUCUGUGACACUUAAGAGAAUGAAAAGACAAGCCACAAACUAGAAAAAAAAUAUUUUCAAAAUAUAUCUGAUAAAGGACUUAUAUUUAAAUCUAAAAAACUCCUAAAACUCAACAAAGAAAGCAAACGACCCUAAUUUAAAAAUGGGCAAAAGAUCUGAACAGACACCUCACCAAACAAGAUAUACAGAUGAUGAAUAAUCAUAUGAAAAGAUGCUCAACAUCAUAUAUCAUUAGAGAAUUACAGAUUGAGAUGAUAAGAUAUCACUGCACACCUAUUGGAAUGAGUAUAAUACGAAGAACUUACAAUACCACAUGCUGAUGAAGAUGUGGAGCAACAGAAACUCUCAUUCACUGCUAGUGGGAGUGCAAAAUGCUACAGCCAUUUUGGAAGAAAAUUAGGAAGACAAAGCUAAACAGAAUCUUACAGUACACCAAACAGUUGCACUCCUAGGUAUUUACUCAACUGAGUGGGUAAGAAAACUUAUGUCACACAAAAGCCUGAACAUGAAUGUCUUUAAGAGCUUUAUUCAGAAUCCCCAAAAACUGGAAGCAACCAAGAUGUCCUUCAGUAGACGAAUGGAUACACAAACUGUGUUAUAUCCAUACAAUGAAAUACUAUUCAGUUAUCAAGCCAUAAAAAGACAUGAAGAAACCUUAAAAGCAAACUGCUAAGUGAAAAAAGCCAGUCUGAAAAGGCUACAUACUAUAUGAUUGCAACUAUAUGCCAUUCUGGAAAAAGCAAAACUAUAGAGGCAAUAAAAAGACCAGCAGUUGCCAGGGAUUAGGGGGCAGGGCAGGGGAUGCAAGGGGAAGGGAUGAAUAGGUGAAGCUUGGGAGACAGUGAAACUAUUCUGUAUUGAUACAUUAAUGGUGGAUAUAUGACAUUAGGGAUUUGUCAAAACCCAAGGAACUAUACAACACCAAGAUUAAACCUUAAUGUAAACUGUGAACUUUAGUUAAUAGUAAUGUAUCAAUAUUUAUUUGUAAUAGCCAGGCAUGGUGGCUCAUGCCUGUAACUCCAGCACUUUGUGAGGCUAAGGUGGGAGGAUCACUUGAGGCCAAGAGUUCAAGACCAGCCUGGGCAACAUAGUGACACCCCCGUCUCUAACAAAAACAAUUUUUUUAAAAAAUUAAGUGGGUGUGGUGGUGCGCACCUAUACUCCCAGUUACUUUGUAGGCUGAGAGGGGAGGACUGCUUCAGCCCAGGAGGUCGAGGCUGCAGUGAUCUACAAUGACACCAAUGCACUCCAGCCUGGGUGACAGAGCAAGACCCUGUCUCGAAAAAAGGUUGUAACAAAUAUACCACACUAAUGCACAAUGUUAAGAAUAGAGGAAAUUCAGUGUGUAUGUGUGGGGAGGGGGUAUGGGAGCCUUGUGUAAUAUGUGCUUAACUUUUCUAUGAAUCUAAAACUGUUCCAAAAAAUAAAGUCUAUUAAUUCUUAAAAAGUAAUGCAGGUAGACUGUUUUACUUGAAAGUCAGAAAAAUAGAAAAAAAAAAAAACCCUGCAGACCCAUCAUCCAGACAACCGACAUUUACAAUCUGCUAAAUUUCUGUCCAGGAUUUUUUCUUUGUGUAGCCUUUUACCAAUAGCAUUUUAUUUACACCUAUAUUAUAUCUCAUACCCUCGUUCAUCUCUUAUAAUAGUUCUCUGUGUCCUCCACAAGAUUUUAUGUUCCCUGAGGUCAGGAAAACCUGAAAAGUUUUUGUAUUUCAUAUGGUUCUUGAUAUAACACCUGGAACUUACUAGGGUCUCAAUAAGUGUUUAUUUGACAGAGAUGAAUAAAGAAGAAUCUUCACCAUAUCAAAUCUAUAUCUGCUAGAGAAAAAAAAAAUCACAGAAUGAUUAAGAAAAAAUAUGCAUUAUGAGAAACUUAUUUUAAAGAGUUUACAUCAGAAAAAGAUGAUAGGAAUGGGCUGAAGACCUUAACAAGAGCAAGGACAAAGAGUUACUAAAUUUACAUGAGGGCUGCAUGGCUGGUACCUCCUGGUCAUCACAUUGCUCAGAGGGCUAAAUCUUUGGCCAGGCUAGUCCAGGAACUAGGCUGAGAGACCUGCACAGAGCAUGUGGGCUAUUCUCCCAGGGUGGGCCUACAGAGCCUAAUGUGAGUACAUUUCCUCAAGAGAGCAAGCCACAGAUGGCACUUUAUAGUGUGAAUGCCACCUGUCCAUGCUGACUGUUAGGCAAGGGGUCCUAUCCUUCUGCAGAGUUAAAUAAGAUCACAAGAUUUGUUAGGUGAAUAAAGAACUCCAGACACAAGAUUAG